AUCUAAUCAGUCCACCGCAAGUUAAUCAUAAAAUGGUACUUUGAUUAAAAUAACAGCAAUUUGGUGUUCCUAUAUUGUUUUUUUUACAAGAAUUCACAUCCCGAUUCCCUAUUUAAAAAAAUAAAAUCUAAUGUUUUUAUAAUUGUUGAAGACAAGGUGAUGAGAAUCGUACCAAAUAUUUCCUCUCUGUAAUCCUUCGAUCUGCAGCUUUAAUUCGUUCCCUCUUGUGGUUAUUGUUUCAUCUCUUGGUUUCUUGAUUUUUCUUUGAUUUGUUCUUCCCUUUUGGCUCACAAAUUCGUUUCUCGUCUGCCUACGGCUUUAUAUGUACUCUCAAAUAAGAAGCCUUUUCAUGGAGAGGGUGGAGAAGGUGGCGGCGAUUUGCUAAUGGAGGUUUCGCCUCUUAGUAAAGAAAGUGCCGUGUUUGGAAGUCGAAGGCCCAUUUGACUUUUCCUUUAAUUUUAUGGAUUAUUAAACUCUUAUGGGUCAUUAAGAGUAAUAAAUUCUAAACCACGAUUUUUGUCUCAACUGCAGAAAUGGGAAGAUUCUCCUGCAUACCCAAAUCUUGUCAUUUAAUUCAACUAAUGGCUUCAGUUCAGUCCCA
rnacentral:lncRNA from 1 species